rnacentral:rRNA from 1 species
CGUGUAGGCGGUGCGGUAAGUUGGGCGUGAAAUCCCCGAGCUUAACUCGGGUGGGCCGUUCAAGACUGCCGUGCUAGGGUGCGGGAGAGGGAAGUGGAAUUUCCGGUGUAGCGGUGAAAUGCGUAGAUAUCGGGAGGAACACCUGCGGCGAAGGCGGCUUCCUGGACCGUAACCGACGCUGAGGCGCGAAAGCUAGGGGAGCAAACAGGAUUAGAUACCCUGGUAGUCCUAGCCCUAAACGAUGAGCACUGGGUGUGGCCCCUCACGGGGCCGUGCCGAAGCUAACGCAUUAAGUGCUCCGCCUGGGGAGUACGGUCGCAAGGCUAGAA